rnacentral:misc_RNA from 1 species
GAAAUGCGAUAAGUAGUGUGAAUUGCAGAAUUUAGCGAAUCAUCGAAUCUUUGAACGCACAUUGCGCCCCUUGGUAUUCCAUGGGGCAUGCCUGUUCGAGCGUCAUUUCAACCCUCAAGCACUGCUUGGUGUUGGGCGUUUGUCCCGCCUACGCGCGUGGACUCGCCUCAAAGUCAUUGGCAGCUGUUCCCCUUCGGCUCGUAAGCGCAGCACAGUCGGCGCCCGGAGCUCUGGUGGGAUGGCGUCCAGCAAGCUAUAUUUUCAGGCUUGACCUCGGAUCGGGUAGGGAUACCCGCUGAACUUAAGC